rnacentral:rRNA from 1 species
UACCUGCGGAGGGAUCAUUACCGAGUUUACAACUCCCAAACCCCUGUGAACAUACCUAUACGUUGCCUCGGCGGAUCAGCCCGCGCCCCGUAAAAAGGGACGGCCCGCCCGAGGACCCCUAAACUCUGUUUUUAGUGGAACUUCUGAGUAAAACAAACAAAUAAAUCAAAACUUUCAACAACGGAUCUCUUGGUUCUGGCAUCGAUGAAGAACGCAGCAAAAUGCGAUAAGUAAUGUGAAUUGCAGAAUUCAGUGAAUCAUCGAAUCUUUGAACGCACAUUGCGCCCGCCAGUAUUCUGGCGGGCAUGCCUGUUCGAGCGUCAUUUCAACCCUCAAGCUCAGCUUGGUGUUGGGACUCGCGGUAACCCGCGUUCCCCAAAUCGAUUGGCGGUCACGUCGAGCUUCCAUAGCGUAGUAAUCAUACACCUCGUUACUGGUAAUCGUCGCGGCCACGCCGUAAAACCCCAACUUCUGAAUGUGACCUCGAUCAGGUAGAAUCCCCGGUUUCU